AUGGUUAAUCCAACGGUGGAGGUUUUUGUAGGGAUCGGCCUUGGAGCACUGGUAGGACCGGGGGGUAAUUUACUCUGGGGAACGGUAGGGAAGGGUUUCAACUUUGAAACCUGGCGCACAAACCUCGACUCCAUGAUAAAUUCUUUACUGCCAUUGAUCAAAGAGAUGGAAGACCAGAAUAAGACGUUGGUUAUCGGAGAUGACGAAAUAGAAGAUCUCAAGCAAAAACUGACAGAGGGUGAAGAUCUCGUUGAGGAGUUAAAGAAGGUCAGUUACCGGCUUGCUGAACUGGACAAGUCUAUUAAAAGACUGUUAGAGAUACUGAAGGUGCAGGGAAUAAGGGAUGUCAAGGGGAUUUCCCUGUUGGCAAAGGAUCACACCAAACAACUUAAGGCCUGCAAAACAGAUGUGGAGGGAACCUUGGUUUUGGCGAAGGAUCACAUUGAACAACUUAAGGCCUGCAAAAGGGAUGUCGAGGAGACUUUGGUUUUGGCAAGGGAUCACUCUGAUCAACUUACCGACUGCAAAAGCCAUGUCGAGGAUACUUUGGGUUUGCAAAGGAAGAUAGACGCCAAGCUCGACAAAUUGAACGGAUUGGUCUGGUACAAGGUGACGAAGGUACAUAAUUUUUUUAGUUUUUUGUUUUUAAAUACAAGCUAUAGUCUAAAUUACAAGGAGAAUGAGGUUUUUCAUGGGAAUUUGAACCAAUUAGCCUGCAAGUCAAGGCUGUUAGAUUCCAAUUUUUUUUUUUUUUUCGUAUAGAGAGAACGAAACAUGUUAUUGGAUAGAGAGUGGCUCACUUCUCUUUUUGUGUUCUUGUGAUUUUGGUGGUGACUGUGACAGUGGCAUGUUUGGUGGAACGGAACGCUCUAAGAAAAGCAGUUAAAGAGUUGACCCCUGCUGUUGACAAAACGUUGAUGAACCCUUGCUCCUUUUCUUAUGAAUAUUGGGAAAGGAUUCGUCCCUAUCUACGCUCCCUCCGGCAUUGAUUCGACGGAGAGCAGCGGGCAGCGGAAGAAAAAGGAUGGGAUCGUAUCUCAUUUGAGGAACUAAAAAAGUUAACAAUACAAAUAGAGCAGGGUGUAAAGCUAGCUCGCAAGUGCUCCGAUGUCGAUGUUAGUGAAUGAAGCCCCGGCAAAAAGAGUAGAUACGCCGCCACAAUUCUUGAUUUGGAGAAAUCUCUUGAAGCACUUGUGCUCCGUUUUAAAAUUCUACCAAAUGUUCCUGUCCAAACGGACCAUCCACAUCCGCAAGGCACGUGAUGUGACCAAGUCUCCGUUUUGUAUCAAAAAAAUAUUUCAUUAUAGGACAUAAGGUUUUUUCCUGGACAACUACUUCAUACGUACAUUUCUAUCUCUACUCUACGUACCAUAUAACAAGACAUAAUGUAUAUGCACAAUUUCUGAUUUUCCUUCUUUUACUUAAAAAGAAUGAAGACGGGACCAAAGACGAAGAGAAGAAUAAUCCAAAUUUGUAUAAAAAUUGCCAUGUACCAUACUACCAUACAUAGUAAGUAAUAAUACCCUUCUUAUGCUGGAGAAAGAACGUACACUAAACAAGAAACAGGACCGAUGAGGUCCACCCUACUUACGACUUAUUCAGAUUUAGACCCUUCCACUAUAAUUUAUUUACAUGUAAUAAAUUACUUAAUAUACAAAGUACCAUUCGUAAUAGGUACAUACCUAAGGUUGUAGUAGCUAGUAGGUAUGUAUACGAAUUCACAAAAACAGCCUAGAAAUUGUAUAUGUACAAUGAUUUAUUAAUUUUAUUAUGGUGAUGUGUGCAAAUGUCCGCAUAUAUAUACAUAUAAAUUCUUCUAUGCGGACGUUCGGAUGUUAUUAUUAUGCGGAUACUAUGUAUUUUCUAUUAUCUCUCCAUGCUUUCCUCCCUAUUUACAAUGUCAUCCACACGAUAAUAAUGUGCGAACAUCCAAAUAAAAGAAUAUAUGUGUUUAUUCUCUCCAAACAAUUUCUAUUUAUGCACAAUAAGUAGUUAGAAAAAGCCUUUAGAAUCCAACAAUUUUUCUUAAUUAUUUUGCCAACUCUUACACAUGAGGUGAGAUACAAGAUAUAGUGGAAUCUAUGUAAAAUCCAUGCAUAUAAGAAGUUGAGGAAAGUGCUUGGAAAAGACUAACCCAUUAAUUAGAACAUAUCCUAACAACUGUGAAAUAAAGAUUAGUUAAAUAAAAUUAAAAUUAUUAUAUACGCAUACUUAUUAUAAUUAGCUUCACAUAAUUAAAUUUGUUGUCAUUACAUUGUAGCGGCGUCCAUCCAUGUGAGCUCCAGACCACUUGUGUAACCCUGCAUGUUCAAGAUAUUCAUCAACCUAUUCAUUUCCCUUGAUCUUGCGAAAAUAACGAUCAAAUUCAGCCGUUGAAUAAGAUUUUGCAACCUGCUCAAAGUGUAUCAGCACUUUAUCACGGUCUUUCAACUAGCAAAUGCGUUUCAUGUUCACCUUAAUAUGAUAAAAGCAUAUGCCAUGUUGCGCUGUUGGAAAAACUUUGUUCCACACAUUCUCUAUGCUAACAUUGUGAUUAAUAAUGAUAACAAGAUUGGGACACUCACCAAUGGCUUCAUGAAGUUUAGUGAAAAAGCAAUGUCAUGAUGCAUCCGUCUCCAAAUCCCCAAUUCCAAAAACAAGAGGAUAUAUAUUUCGAUUACCAUCGAAUGCAUUCGCUACAAAUAUAACACCCUUAUACUUAGAUUUUAAAUGAGUGGCAUCCAUUGUAACACCCCGACUCUAAAUUUAAUUCCAUAUUUAAAUUAUUUAAUUGAAAUUACGAAUUUAUCCUUGGGGUAAGGGCAAUUUGGUCAUUUUCUUAUCACAAAGGAUUUUGGGUUAACAAGUGGUAUGGUAAGUAGGUCGUGCUAAGACGAAUCCGUAGACACGCUGUAGGCGUGUAACGAAGAUUUGGCAACCAAAAUUAGUUCAGUGGCAAACUUGUAAAUAAUUUGAAAAGAGUAGGGUAAAAAUCUGAUUUUUUUUUCUUCUUUCCCCUCUCUCUCUCUCUCUCUCUCUCUCUCUCUCUCUCCAGUCUCCCUUUGCUUGCAAACACACUCCCCCCUCCCGGCGGUGCUACUGUUCACCGAGACCAGAAACCACCACACCGCUGCCACUUCUGGCCACCCCAUCCAACGAGACUAGACCCGAUCGACUCGCCUUGACCUCGCCGUCUCAACCCACCCAGUUUUUCCAGCCGUAAACCUCGAAUCCCAGCCAGAGUAUCGACUAGUUUUUCUCCGAUUCUUCCUAUCAUUGCGCCGCCGCCUCCUCCUUCCAAUCCCAGUGAAACAGGUGGGAUUUCUUCCUCUUUUUAUCUAUUCUAGCUGUCUGUUGCUUAGGAUUGGAUCGAUUUUGAGUUUGGGAAACCGAUUUGAAAACCUAGGUUUUGUCCGGAUUUCAAAGUGAAAUUCCGGCCGGUUGCCUUCCGAAUUGGACCUCCCCAUAUUUGAGUAAAUAGAUCCUCGUCUCGAGUAAUAGCAAGGGUAGGAAGGGUGGAUUAUGGUGUGGAGUUUUUCCGUCACCGAAAAUUACUCUACACACCCACACGCUGCCAGGGCAUGUGGCGGGGUGUGGGCAAGGGAGGUGAAGCCAUAUUUUAUCAUGUUGUAAUCCUCAUGUUGUCACGAGCGUUUAGGCAUGCUCAAAUUUCAAUUCCGAUGUCGUUUGACUAUCGAAUGAAUUUCGCAUAUUGUGCGUUAUCCGGGUUCGAUAGAUUCUAACUGUUGGAUCGUUUCCAAAUUAAAAUAUGUUAAUCUAAGCACUCCUAGGAUCGUGUAGAAUUUCACGGAUCGUGAAUCGGAGCCCCGGAUGUUCCGAUUCAAUAAUUCAAAUUUGUGGUUUACGCCCGACCGUCCCUUUCGGAUCAUACCUACAAGACGUAUUUCCUAACACGUAGAUGGACUUUAUAAUACUUCGUUCAAUGUGUACGCACUGGGAACAUGGGGAAAUUAGUAUUUAAUUUAUGGAUUCUAUUUCGAAGUGAUUUUAUAUUAAUUAAAGGUUCGUAUCUCGAAAUAGGUGCUCCGACUGCUCGUACCCAGUAGGCAGGACCCUCUCAAGGUCAGGCAGCUUGAGACUAUUUGUGAGUGGACUUUGUCUUCAAUCAUACGCAUGGUUUUAUUGAUGAAAGAUUUAUGCAUAUGUUUUAAAUGGUAUAUGGGAUAUAAUAUAUAUUCGGUUGUUGAAUUUGAUGUUCUUAUAAGCUUUGGCUAUAUAUUUUGGGUUUCAAUAUAUUUAUGUAUCGUGAGCAUAUUUACAUAGAUUUUUGGGAAAUUCUAUCUAUAUUGUUUAUGUGUGGGAUACUUGGAUUGUUGAGGUGAGAUUGUGAAAGAAUUUGAGUAUGAGGGGUUGUUGAGAGAAGAUGUAUGAUUACACUAUGUAAGUACUAUCCCUUGAUUAUUAGUCUCACACAUGGCGUUGAUAGUUCCUGCGUGUGAGACACUUCCCAUACGUGGCGUUAAUAGUUCCAGCGUAUGGGAAGACUAUGUACAUUGCUUGGAAUCAUCACACAUGGCGUUGGUAGUUCCGGUGUUUGAUGAUGUAGUCUGCGUGCGUAGGACUUAGUAUUGGAGCUACACGAGGCGUUGCUAUUUUCGGGGUGUGAGCUAUGGAGUUUCGUCCCUCGGUUGGACCGCUCAUCCCUAGACGCAGGAUAGCACCUGGAAAUCCUGCGGGCUAGCCAAAGAAUUCCCCGGUACCUAGGUAGUGUGAUGAGUAUAUUGUAUAUUUAUAUAUAUAUAUAUAGGUGUGAGUGUAAAGCAAUUACAGUAUAUAUAGUGGGUUGGGAAUAACAGUAUAAUUUUGGGAAUGAAGUUUAUGAAUUGAGUGGUUUGUGGUUUUGAAAGGGUUUCAAAGAUUAAUGGUUUUGAAUAUUAAAUAUGAGUUAUAAAUCUGCAUGCUUUGGGCAUUAUUUUUACAAGAUGGGGUUAUUAUGUUGUUUUAAAUACAAACUUUGUUUUUGUCCACUUACAUAUUUUCUGUUUUGCUCCACCUAGACUGUAGUUGCUCAAGGAGAGCUGUAAGCUGUGUUCGAGACUCGAAUUGUGAACUUUAGUAGUUAGGCUUCGAGUAAUUUCUUUUACUCAACUAAAAGUUGUCCUUGUAAACGAAAUUCAGUAGAUGCUCUGUUAUGGCCCAUGUUAGGUUUUAUUUGUGAGGUCGGAGGCCAUUUGGUGUUUACUGUAAAAUGUUGUAUGCAUGCUUCUGGUUGGGAUUAUUUUGUGAUUGUUAUGCAUGUUGAAUUUUGUUGGGUUUGUUUAAUUUAUAGAUGAGACUCUGCCAAAAUUUUGGUAGAAUGUCUCGGUUUUUAGUAAGUGAGCCCGACAUCAGGGUGAUGUUAGUAAAUAAACGGGAUUCCUCCCGAUUUUCGAGGAAUUUCGGGGCUAUCACUGGGUGCAUGGAAGAACGAAACCGUCUAAUACAUGCGCCAAUAGCCAUAAAACAAAUACACAAAUCUUAUGCACAUGAUCCAAGAGUUCACCAAAUGUGAUGGUCCAUGGUACUUUUAUGCCUUUUGAGUCAACCCAUUCGUAUUUGCACAUCUUCAUUGAGGUUACCCAUUUUCCAUUGUAGCAAACCAGAGUAACAAUUGUCUUCAUUUCUGACCAUGACAAAACAACAUUUCAUUGACACAUGUGAAGCCACGAGAAAAUCAUUACAAUAAAACCAUAAUAAACAGGCAAUACAAGAUCAAUACAACAAUACAACAAUACAACAAUACCAUAACAACAACACAAUAGCUAUACAAUAGUAACACAACAGUAAUACAUCAACAAUAACACAGCAGUAAACCAGGAUUCACCAAAAUCAGAUUAUACAAAUCUACCACAUCAAAUGGACAAUCCCAAGUUUCAUGAUUCACGUAUCUAGAGUAAUCUAAAACCAUUUGGUAAAAACCCAAAUGGAUGAGCAUGAAAAUUCAAAACACAUAACCCAAAGCAAUCAAAAUAAAACCAAUUCACAGCAUCCCACAUAGAUUAAGAAAAUGACCAUCAAGACUACCUAUUGGAGGUUGGCAAUGAAGUUGAGCUUUAAGGUUGCAAGCAGCUGCGGCCUUACGCUAUUCGAAAUACAUACCUAGAAGAUGAGGUCGAAUGGAGGGGUUUCGCGAUUCAUAACAAAGAGAUAAGAGGAUGAAAUGGGUUUUGCUAAGCGACCGAUAGAGAGCACUAUGAGAGGACCAGCUGCGCGAGAGGGAUAGAACUGCACGAGAGAGAGAGAGAGAGAGAGAGAGAGAGAGAGAGAGAGAGAGAUAGAUAGAUAGAUACUGACCAAAGUUUUAUGUGGCCGAUAAGUGGGCAAUAAUUAUGUAUUUAUAGGUUAUAUUUGUAAAAUAUGUGGGUAGAUGUGGUAUUUUUCAUAUUAAGUUUGGAGUGUAGUGGCAUUUAGCCCUAUUUCUCGAGUAAAAAUGCGUUAAUCCAUGUGACUCGUGUCCUUCUUACCAGAAGUCUUGUAGUAGAGUUAAAUGGGACCUCUAGUGUAUGCUAAACCCAAGAAGUUGCAGACAAUCUUCAAAGUUUGGAUCUGAAGCAAAGUUUCUUUCACUUUUCUUUUAGACUGAAACGAGUGUCAAGUUGUCCAUUUUUACUGAUCGGCAAGAAUGUCUGGAAUAGAGGAGCUUUUAGCAGGAGGUGCUGUUGGAACACUAUGUUCAAAGCUGUACAAGGGCAUUGUGAAAUUGAUCGGCAAGUUUAGGAAGUUGAAGCCCCAACUUGAAAACAUCCGGCCCACGCUUCACUCUUUGCAGUCACAAAUCGUACAAAUUGAAGGUCAGAACAAGAAAUUAAAGCUCCCAGACAAGGAGCUACAAAAUAUUAGAAAUGAACUAUGUAAGGGCCUAAAUCUCAUCCACGAGUGCUUGGAGAAUCCAGAGUGGUACAAAAUGCCUAAAUACCACAACCAACUUCUUGAAUUUGACAGGUCUCUCAAAAGGCAGUUAGAUUUGAUACCGGUGCAUGCACUGAGGGAUUGAAGGACGUCGUUGCUUAUGCAAACAGAACAAACCGGCAAACUUGAUGAGUUGAUAGGUUAUGAGAAGGAGAACUUGGAGUUGACUAGGCAAAUAGAAAGGAUUUUGCCUAAGCCGGAAAUAGAGACGAGUAAAGCUUCACCCCUUCCGGUUGGAUUGGGUAUGCCUUUGAAGGAAUUGAAGAAGCUUCUUGAUGACAGGGUGUCAAGGCUUGUACUGAUCGGUCCUCAAGGUUAUGGAAAAACCACAUUGGCGAAGCAGUUUUGUCAGGAUGAGGAUGUCAAAGGUAUAAUCAAGUUCUUUCAUUUUUCUUCCAAUUGGUUGAUUUAAAUGUCAUUUACUUUGAUUAUGGUAUGUUAAAGAGAUAGUUGCUUAAGUUGAAGCAAUUCUUUUCAUGAGAUUUUACAGUUAGAAAGACAUGAACAUCUGUUAGUAUUUUACAAUUAGAUAGUUGCUUCCAAUUGCUUAAUAGUCAACCCACAAACAUCUGUUAGUAUUGCUGCAACUUCAUCAUUGGGAUAACUUUUUACUGAGAAAAUUGCUUCAGUCUCACAGUAUUUGCAUAUGCAAGGACUGGAAUUGUAGACUGAUUAUAGUUGCCUCCCAGUAACAGCUUUUUAAUGUUGUAUUUGGACACAUAUAUACAAGAACAAUAGCUUCUUUGUCCUUGUUUCCAAAAAGCUCAACUUUGAGCAUAUUGUACAACAACUAUAUUGACACAAGGAAUACCAGGUACCUAAUGACCUCCAUCUUGAAGAAAUUGCGGUUCUCAGGCUGCAAAAAUUUUUGAAGGAACCAGGACAAAAUCCUAUACUGUUGGUCCUAUAUGAUGUUUGGUCAGAAUCCAUUCUUGACAAGUUUGAUCGAUUCAAAAUGUCACAUUACAAGAUUUUGGUGACAUCAAUAUCUGAGUUUCCAAGAUUUGGUUAUGCAUAUUGUUCACACCAUAAUCAACCAAGCAUGUCUAGCAUCAAAAACGACUAGCACCAAGGCAGACACGCCUUCCUUCAUGCCAAAGAAAGACACUCUUCCGAAGCGGCGGCCACCUUCUGAAGCUCCCGACUACCUAAGCUCCCAACUACCGAACCUAAUCUCCAAAGACACCUGUCCCCACCAGAUUAACUUGCACAAAGUUCCACAUCGAAACUUUGUGCAAAGCUCCCAUUUUCACUCCCCUAUAAAUAGGGAAUAGUACCCAAGUAAAAAGGGUAACUACUUUCUCACAUUUUCUGUUACUCUGUCAAAGUUACCACUUAUAGCUAACUUGAGCAUCGGAGAGCCUUCGGCCGGCACCACAUUAGUGUCUAAAACUUGACAACAGAUUCUCCUACUUUGUUUUCUACAGGUUCAUCCAUUGCUGAAGGUCCUCACCUUCUCCCAUGCUAAAGGCACACCACAUCUCUCUAAGUUGACCCUUUCUGAAAAAGAGCAUCAACAGUUUGGCGCCGUCUGUGGGAACCGACUCUUGAAUCCCAUUUUUCUCUACCAGCCCAGCUGACUCCCUCUCCCAUCAGGCCCCGUCCGCUCUUCUUCACCCCAUAUUCCGCUAUGCCGACCGAGGAUAGCCACGAUAUCCAGCACCAUACCUCUCGCGAUGGUACUUCUAGAAGUGGAGCGCCUCCACGCCAGUGUUACCAAAAUAUCGAAGAAGUACGAGCAUCUUCAUUGCAAGAAUAUUGAGCUGGAGCAUGAUUAUCGUGUUCUGAAGCACAACUGGGAGAUGACUCACCCCCAGGGCACCCGACUUGACCAUACCCAGGAUGUUGGGCAUACCCAGCCAAACCAGCCAAUGCAAUCCAGCCACAGCGCCCCGGCCCAAUCUAGGCUCUGUAGGGGUAAAGGCCACCUUCAUCCGGAGUCGACCUAGUCGCGGCUCAUUCGCAUAUCCCCGCCAAAGGACCGGCCCCAUAAACUAGUGAAGAUCUACAGAGAUUGUAGGGACCGCAUCUCCGACCGUCAACCAAUACCUAAGGGUGACACACAUGGGCCCCCAACCAAAGCCCACCCACUUACCCGCAGAAAAGGGUGUAGGGGACUUGGAUUACUGGGAGCCUUAUCACCCAGAGGACUGGGUGUCUUACCAUACAUAAGCAUUCAAAGAGUGGGAAUCUUCCCCAACCCCUCCCCGCUCACACCCUAGGCCAUCAGCACCUGACACUAAGGCUUCUCUUCAAGAAGGUCUAGCGUCUGGAGAAGGUCCGGCGUCUGGAGAGUGAGCAACACCGCAGCCACUAGCCUCUCUGGGCGAAGCCACGACCUAUGCCCUUUACCGAAUGCAACCUCAACCCUACACGAGCAGAUAUCACAUAGUCUACCUUCAGUAAAUCUAGCUCAUAGAGACUCAUCAUAUUCCUCUUCGACAACGGAACCUCAACUGGAAGGCCCACACCAGCAGAAGCCACUACCACCAUACCACACCCAGAUGGCCCCACUCGCCCACUAAUACUAGCUUCUAGUGCUUGAGUCAUACCCAACACCCGGUUGGCAACAACCUUUAAGGUAGCAUAAUUCCUAUGCAUCUCCUUAUAGGCUCCCUCCCCUCCUUCCCCCCCUCUCCCAAGAGCUCAUUGACUGCUCUUCUUCCCCCACCCUAUCCCCCUCCACUAUCAGCCCUUCCACUAUGUUUAUGACUCAGUAUUCUCUUCAUCGGUACCCAGGGCUUCAUCAUGACUAUCACUCUUAAACUCUUCCCCACUGAAGGCAUGGGGACUUGAUGGACUUUGACUUUCCCUUUCAGAAUUAUCAGACAUCUACAAACACAGAAAUAAGGAAACUAAGGGGCAUUCGAAGAUUGAAAGUAAAGGCCUAGUCAUGUUCUUCAAACGUUCUUCAAUGUUCAUGCAAGUUCAUCUAAACUCAUACAAGUUCAUGCACAAACUCAAGCAAAACGAAAACUUCAAUCUAAGGCAAGAGAACAAAACAUGACAUACCUUUUUACCGCUGCCACACACAACUGCCGGAAAUCGCUAGGCCUUGACGGAAUCCCCUUCAACUUCACCGAAAAUGGCCUCCGCUGCAACUCAACCUAAUCAAAAAUCGCCCUUGCUCCUCUACUCAAGUCUCUCAAAAAUUCUAAGUGCUCCCCAUUCAACCCUUCACGCCCUUUUAAAGGCACACAAAGCUUAUCAAUUUUCAAUCCAUCGCAAUAACUCAUCCUACCGUUAGGGACGCCUCGAUUUCCACAAACAAAUGGUUCAAAUAUCGCUAAACACAUAGCAACGCAAUGACGUAAAACCUUCCUUUCGGAAGGCUCCCUUCCGAAGCGUGAAACGACUCUCGCGACUCGAAAUGACGUCACAUCUUCCCUUCGGAAGGCUCCCUUCCGAAGCAUGAAAGGACUCGCGUGACUCGCGAUGAUGUCACACCUUUCCUUCUAAAGGCUCUCGCGACGUCACACCUUCCCUUCGGAAGGCUUUAUUCUGAAGCUUGGGAGGACCCUCGCGCCUCAGGAUGACAUAACAUUUUUCCUUCGGAAGGUUACCUUCCCUUCGACACACAACAUGCCGAAGCCCCAAAAAAAAAAAAAAGGGGGGCGUGCCUUCUAGCUUACGAACUUAGGGGACUAGGGGACUGCCUAGGGCACCCGUCAUGCCGACACGCUUGAUUUAAUUAUGCAACCUUCUUACAAGUUCCCAAACCAGAAGCCACAUCUUGAUUGACAACUUGGGGACUACUGUUUACACCAUAAUCAACCAAGCAUGUCUAGCAUCAAAAACGACUAGCACCAAGGCAGAAAUGCCCUCCUCCAUGCCAAAGGAAGACACUCUUCUGAAGUGGCGACCACCUGCCGAAGCUCUCGACUGCGGAACCUAAUCUCUAAGGACACCUGUCACCACCAGAGCAACUUGCAAAAAGUCUCACAUUGAAACUUUGUGCAAAGCUCCCAUUUUCACUCUCCUAUAAAUUGGGAACAGUACUAAAGUUACCACUUAUAGCUGACUUAAGCAUCGGAGAGCCUUCGGCCGGCACCACAUCAGUGUCCGAAGCUUGACGACUGCUUCUCCCACUUUGUCUUCUGCAGGUUCAUCCAUUACCGAAGGUCCUCACAUUCUCCCCUGCUGAAGACACAACACAUCUCUCUAAGUUAGCCCUUUCCGAAAAAGAGCAUGAACACAUAUUGUUUAAACCGUUGAAUGAUGAAGAUGCAAUGACCCUGUUUCAUCAUUCUACUUCACUCAAAGAUAAUAGCUCUUAUGUUCCAUAACCCCUUGCCGAAUAUGUGAUUUAUUAAAAGCAAUGCAUGGCAUAUCCUCAUUCAUAUAUUUGUAUAUGCUUGCAUUCGUUUUCUCUCUUUCAUCAAAGCAUUCAGAACAUUUAGAGAAUCUAGAAUUUGAGUCUCAAUUCAAAAGUAAUUGACUUUCAUUGGGACAAUUGAACUGCAGAUAGUAGAAAGGUGUAAGGGAUUUCCACUUGACAUUUCAGCCAUCGGAAGAUCACUUUGUGGACAAUCCAUAGAGACUUGGACUAGAACACUAAGGGUUUGGUGUGAAGAAUCUUCUCUUCUUGAUUCCGAAACCGAUUUCCUUGGUUGCUUCCAAAGCAACUUAGAUGUGUUGGGUAAAAAAGACCCAGCAUCAGGGAAUGUUUCAAAGACCUUGGUUCAUUUUCUGCAAAUCAAAGAAUCCAUGUGGCUAACCUCAUUGAUAUAUGGACAGAGUUAUAUGAUCUAGAUGAAGACACUCUACUCAUUGCGAACCUCCACGAAAACUCACCUGGCUAAUUAUAUAGUCAAAAUGUAGUAAUGACCUCCAUUUUUACUUCGGAAGGCUACCUUCCUUUCGACACACAACAUGCUGAAGCGCAAAAAAAAAAAAAAUGGGGGGCGUGCCUUCUAACUUAUGAACUUAGGGGACUAGGGACUGCCUAGGGCACCCGUCAUGCCGACACGCUUGAUUUAAUUAUGAAACCUUCUUACAAGUUCCCAAACCUGAAGCCACUUCUUGAUUGACAACUUAGGAACUACUGUUUAUGCCAUAAUCAACUAAGCAUGUCUAGCAUCAAAAACGACUAGCACCAAGGCAGACAUGCCUUCCUCCAUGCCAACGGAAGACACUCUUCUGAAGCGGCGACCACCUGCCGAAGCUCUCGACUGCGGAACCUAAUCUCUAAGGACACCUGUCACCACCAGAGCAACUUGCACAAAGUCUCACAUUGAAACUUUGUGCAAAGCUCCCAUUUUCACUCUCCUAUAAAUUGGGAACAGUACCAAAGUUCCCACUUAUAGCUGACUUAAGCAUCGGAGAGCCUUCGGCCGGCACCACAUCAGUGUCCGAAGCUUGACGGCUGCUUCUCCCACUUUGUCUUCUGCAGGGUCAUCCAUUACCGAAGGUCCUCACAUUCUCCCCUUCUAAAGACACAACACAUCUCUCUAAGUUAGCCCUUUCCGAAAAAGAGCAUGAACACAUAUUGUUCAAACUGUUGAAUGAGGAAGAGGCAAUGACCCUAUUUCAUCAUUCUACUUCACUUGAAGAUAAUAGCUCUUAUGUUCCACAACCCUUUGCCAAACUGGUGAUUUAUUAAAUGCAUUGCAUGGCAUAUUCUCAUUCAUAUAUUUGUAUAUGCUUGCAUUCGUUUUCUCUCUUUCAUCAAACCAUUCAGAACAUUUAGAGAAUCUAGAAUUUGAGUCUCAAUUCAAAAGUAAUUGACUUUCAUUGGGACAAUUGAACUGCAGAUAGUAGAACGCUGUAAGGGACUUUCACUUGCCAUUUCAGCCAUCGGAAGAUCACUUUGUGGACAAUCCAUAGAGACUUGGACUAGAAGACUAAGGGUUUGGUGUGAAGAUUCUUCUCUUCUUGAUUCCGAAACCGAUUUCCUGAGUUGCUUCCACAGCAACUUAGAUGCGUUGGGUAAAAAAGACCCAGCAUCAUGGAAUGUUUCAUAGACCUUGGUUCAUUUCUUGAAAAUCAAAGAAUCCAUGUGGCUAACCUCAUUGAUAUAUGGACAGAGUUAUAUGAUCUAGAUAAAGACACUCUACCCAUUGCGAACAUCCACGAAAACUCACAUGGCUAAUUAUAUAGUCACAAUGUAGUAAUGACCUCCAUUUUUCCUUCGGAAGGCUAAUUUCCCUUCGACACACAACAUGCCGAAGCCCCAAAAAAAAAAAUAGGGGGCGUGCCUUCUAGCUUAUGAACUUAGGGGACUAGGGGACUGCCUAGGGCACCCGUCAUGCCGACACGCUUGAUUUAAUUAUGCAACCUUCUUACAAGUUCCCAAACCAGAAGCCACUUCUUGAUUGACAACUUGGGGACUACUAUUUACACCAUAAUAAACCAAGCUUGUCUAGCAUCAAAAACGACUAGCACCAAGACAGACACGCCCUCCUCCAUGCCAAAGGAAGACACUCUUCUGAAGCGGCGACCACCUGCCGAAGCUCUCGACUGCCGAACCUAAUCUCUAAGGACACAUGUCACCACCAAAGCAACUUGCACAAAGUCUCACAUUGAAACUUUGUGCAAAGCUCCCGUUUUAACUCUCCUAUAAAUAGGGAAUAGUAUCAAAGUUACCACUUAUAGCUGACUUAAGCAUCGGAGAGCCUUCGGCCGGCACAACAUCCGUGUCCGAAGCUUGACGACUGCUUCUUCCACUUUGUCUUCUGCAAGUUCAUCCAUUACUGAAGGUCUUCACAUUCUCUCCUGCUGAAGACACACCACAUCUCUCUAAGUUAGCCCUUUCCGAAAAAAAGCGUGAACACAUAUUGUUUAAACCGUUGAAUGAUGAAGAUGCAAUGACCAUAUUUCAUCAUUCUACUUCACUCGAAGAUAAUAGCUCUUAUGUUCCACAACCCCUUGCCAAACUGGUGAUUUAUUAAAUGCAAUGCAUGGCAUAUCCUCAUUCAUAUAUUUGUAUAUGCUUGCAUUCGUUUUCUCUCUUUCAUCAAACCAUUCAGAACAUUUAGAGAAUCUAGAAUUUAAGUCUCAAUUCAAAAGUAAUUGACUUUCAUUGGGACAAUUGAACUGCAGAUAGUAGAACGCUGUUUCAGCCAUCGGAAGAUCACUUUGUGGACAAUCCAUAGAGACUUGGACUAGAAGACUAAGGGUUUGGUGUGAAGAUUCUUCUCUUCUUGAUUCCGAAACCGAUUUCCUUGGUUGCUUCCAAAGCAACUUAGAUGCGUUGGGUAAAAAAGACCCAGCAUUAGGGAAUGUUCCAUAGACCUUGGUUCAUUUCCUGAAAAUCAAAGAAUCCAUGUGGCUAACCUUAUCGAUAUAUGGACAGAGUUAUAUGAUCUAGAUGAAGACACUCUACCCAUUACGACCCUCCACCAAAACUCACCUAGCCAAUUAUAUAGUCACAAUGUAGUAAUGACCUUCAUUUUUCCUUCGGAAGGCUAACUUCCCUUCGACACACAACAUGCCGAAGCCCCAAAAAAAAAGAAAUGGGGGGCGUGCCUUCUAACUUAUGAACUUAGGGGACUACGGGACUGCCUAGGGCACCCGUCAUGCCGACACGCUCGAUUUAAUUAUGCAACUUUCUUACAAAUUCCCAAACCAGAAGCCACUUCUUGAUUGACAACUUGGGGACUACUGUUUACACCACAAUCAACCAAGCAUGUCUAGCAUCAAAAACGACUAACACCAAGGUAGACAUGCCUUCCUCCAUGGCAAAGGAAGACACUCUUCUGAAGUGGCGACCACCUGCCGAACCUAAUCUCUAAGGACACAUGUCACCACCAAAGCAACUUGCACAAAGUCUCACAUUGAAACUUUGUGCAAAGCUCCCAUUUUGACUCUCCUAUAAAUAGGGAACAGUACCAAAGUUACCACUUAUAGCUAACUUAAUCAUCGGAGAGCCUUCGGCUGGCACCACAUCAGUGUCCGAAGCUUGACGACUGCUUCUCCCACUUUGUCUUCUGCAGGUUCAUCCAUUACCGAAGGUCCUCACAUUCUCCCCUGUUGAAGACACACCACAUCUCUCUAAGUUAGCCCUUUCUGAAAAAGAGCAUGAACACAUAUUGUUUAAACCGUUGAAUGAUGAAGAUGCAAUGACCCUAUUUUAUCAUUCUACUUCACUCGAAGAUAAUAGCUCUUAUGUUCCACAACCCCUUGCCAAACAUGUGAUUUAUUAAAUUCAAUGCAUGGCAUAUCCUCAUUCAUAUAUUUGUAUAUGCUUGCAUUCGUUUUCUCUCUUUCAUCAAACCAUUCAGAACAUUUAGAGAAUCUAGAAUUUGAGUCUCAAUUCAAAAGUAAUUGACUUUCAUUGGGACAAUUGAACUGCAGAUAGUAGAACACUGUAAGGGAUUUCCACUUGCCAUUUCAGCCAUCGGAAGAUCACUUUGUGGACAAUCCAUAGAGACUUGGACUAGAAGACUAAGGGUUUGGUGUGAAGAUUCUUCUCUUCUUGAUUCCGAAACCGAUUUCCUUGGUUGCUUCCAAAGUAACUUAGAUGCAUUGGGUAAAAAAGACCCAGCAUUAGGAAAUGUUUCAUAGACCUUGAUUCAUUUCUUGAAAAUCAAAGAAUCCAUGUGGCUAACCUCAUUGAUAUAUGGACAGAGUUAUAUGAUCUAGAUGAAGACACUCUACCCAUUGCGAACCUCCACGAAAACUCACCUGGCUAAUUAUAUAGUCACAAUGUUGUAAUGACCUCCAUUUUUCCUUCGGAAGGCUAACUUCCCUUCGACACAAAACAUGCCGAAGCCCCCAAAAAAAAAAAAGGGGGCGUGCCUUCUAGCUUAUGAACUUAGGGGACUAGGGGACUGCCUAGGGCACCCGUCAUGCCUGCACGCUUGAUUUAAUUAUGCAACUUUCUUACAAGUUCCCAAACUAGAAGCCACUACUUGAUUGACAACUUGGGGACUACUGUUUACACCAUAAUCAACCAAGCAUGUCUAGCAUCAAAAACGACUAGCACCAAGGUAGACACGCCUUCCUCCAUGCCAAAGGAAGACACUCUUCUGAAGCGGCGACCACCUGCCGAACCUAAUCUCUAAGGACACCUGUCACCACCAAAGCAACUUGCACAAAGUCUCACAUUGAAACUUUGUGCAAAGCUCCAAUUUUGACUCUCCUAUAAAUAGGGAACAGUAGCAAAGUUCCCACUUAUAGCUGACUUAGGCAUCGGAGAGCCUUCGGUCGGCACCACAUCAGUGUCCGAAGCUUGACGACUACUUCUCCCACUUUGUCUUCUGCAGGUUCAUCUAUUACCGAAGGUCCUCACAUUCUCCCCUGCUGAAGACACACUACAUCUCUCUAAGUUAGCCCUUUCCGAAAAAGGGCAUGAACAAAUAUUGUUUAAACCGUUGAAUGAUGAAGAUGCAAUGACCCUAUUUCAUCAUUCUACUUCACUCGAAAAUCAUAGCUCUUAUGUUCUACAACCCCUUGCCAAACAGGUGAUUUAUUAAAUGCAAUGCAUGGCAUAUCCUCAUUCAUAUAUUUGUAUGUGCUUGCAUUCGUUUUCUCUCUUUCAUCAAACCAUUCAGAACAUUUAGAGAAUCUAGAAUUUGAGUCUCAAUUCAAAAGUAAUUGACUUUCAUUGGGACAAUUGAACUGCAGAUAGUAGAACACUGUAAGAGAUUUCCACUUGCCAUUUCAGCCAUCGAAAGAUCACUUUGUGGACAAUCCAUAGAGACUUGGACUAGAAGACUAAGGGUUUGGUGUGAAGAUUCUUCUCUUCUUGAUUCCGAAACCGAUUUCCUUGGUUGCUUCCAAAGCAACUUAGAUGCGUUGGGUAAAAAAGACCCAGCAUCAGGGAAUGUUUCAUAGACCUUGGUUCAUUUCCUGAAAAUCAAAGAAUCCAUGUGGCUAACCUCAUUGAUAUAUGGACAGAGUUAUAUGAUCAAGAUGAAGACACUCUACCCAUUGCGGACCUCCACAAAAACUCACCUGGCUAAUUAUAUAGUCACAAUGUAGUAAUGACCUCUAUUCUUCCCCCCCCAACAAAAAAAACUGUAGUAAAGAUGGUUGGCUACACUAUUUUUUAUAAAUAGCCUAUCUCUGAGCGGCUAUACGAUUAAAAUAUAGUACUAUUUUUAAAAAAAGACCCACCUAGGAGUUACACGUGUGAAAACAAGUCUAGCCGCACGGCUAUACCAUUUUUUUCCCGCACAGCUAUACCAUUUUUUUUUUUUAAACCUGUAGUAAAACCAACUGGCUAUACCAAAAUAGUAUAGCCACACGGCUAUACCAUUUUUUUUUAAAAAACUGUAGUAAAGCCAACUGGCUCUACGCCUAUACUAUUUUGGAAAAUACAUGACCAUAUAGCCGGUUGGCUGUACUAUGUUUUCAAAAAAGAAAAAAAAAUCGAGUGUAGCUGUGCGGCAAUACUAUUUUAAAAAAUACCCAACAGUAUAGCUGCAUGGCUGUACGAUUUAGUAUUAAAAGAAAGGGAACCGUCAAAAAUAGUAUAGCCGAUCGGCCUUACUAUUAAACUAUAUUUUUUUAAAAAUAGAGUAUAAUGUCCCAUCUAAUUGUCAGGUGGCCACGUGUAAAACAAGUAUAGCCGCGCGGCUAUACGGUUUUUGAUAAAAACAUAGUACAGUCGCCCGGCUAAAAAAAAAUUAUAAAAAACAACCCGAGUAUAGCCGGCCGACUAUACUAUUUUGAAAAAUACGAGACUAUAGCCGAGCAGCUAUACGAUUUAUAGAGGGAACAAAAGGGCACCCGCCUAGCGAGUAGGUGCCUACGUGUCAAAAUAAGGAUAGCCAAUCUGCUAUAAGCUUUUUUUAUUAUUUUUUUAAAAAAAAUUACCCUAGUAAAGCCGCACGGCCAUACUGGUUUUUAAUUUUUCAGGAGUUGCAUCCAACAAAAAGAUUCCCUAUCUAUCUAAUUUUAGGCUAUUUAUUUGGGCCUGCUGAAGAUUGUCAAAAAGCCAAAGUGGGUCGUAAAUAGAACAGAGGCCCACAAGAAAAACUAAACGGCGCGAAAGAGAGCACACACAGCAAUAUCCAAAGAGAAACAUUGAGAGAGAGGGAGAGAGAGAGAGAGUUCCCAAAUCCAAUCCAAACAAUCGAAAACAAAUGAUAAGAGGUCAGUUUACUUCAAACUGCCAUUUCUUUAUAUUUACUUCAUAACAAAACCCAAGUGCUAAGAUCAUCUUCUUUUUGGUAGGUAACAGAAACCCUUACACAUACCUGUUGGUUUAGUGAUGGAAUAUGAGGUGCUGGAAAUAUGAGUUGCUUCAGCAGAGUUCUUUGUAUUCUGAUUCACUUAGCUUCUUUUUACAGUGAUAAGCUCAAAGGCUUUUUAAAGAGAACAAAUACUCUACCAAAUUAAUUAAGGACAGCUACAGCUGCUGUAAUAAAUAGAGAUAUUCUAGAGAAUGAAGGAAGUGCAUUAAUUCCAACAAUACCUUAUUAUAAUCAGCUUCGUCAUAUGGUUUGGUGUGCAAUAAUAUUCAAACUAACUAGCUCUGCCCUCGGUAGCUUUCGGUGAGUUUCCUAGAAACCUCUCGUGGCGUGCAUUUUCCGGGUUGGCAAAUUGCGAAGUGGCAUCCACAGCAUCACUAACGAUCAUAAGCCAUCUCAAACUUAUUUAUGUAAUCAUAUUCAAACUUAGUGGGUGAAAACUUAAUGCGUACGGAUUGCAAACUUAUUGGCUGCAAAACUAUAGCUUUACCUUUUUUAAUGUGAUUAGGUAGGUUAUUUUCCUUGAACAUUGUCUUAGCUCUCCUUUCGCUUGCUUUUGGUAAGUUUCCUUCCUAGAACCUGGUUCAUUAAUUUGCCGGGUUGGUAAAUUGAGGGGCAUCCAACUGUGACGAGUAAGUUAAUGCUUAUAAAAAUAGAUGAAUUCUGAGGCUAACCUCACAAAUUUUCUUCGCGUUUCUCAGUGAAGAAGAGUGUUUUGUUUGGCAGUAGGUUUUUGAGUCUCUUGAUUUGUUUGUUUUCUUGAUCAGUCACUUUGUUUUUAAGUUCUUUUUACUGAUGUUUUGGUGUUGUGUUAGGGUUUUGUUACAGGCGAUCAAAGAUCAUCAUCAAGAAUGGUUAAUCCAGCGGUGGAUUUUUUUGGAGGGAUCGGCCUUGGAGCACUGGUAGGACCGGGGGGUAAUUUACUCUGGGGAAUGGUAGGGAAGGGUUUCAACUUUGAAACCUGGCGCACAAACCUCGACUCCAUGAUAAAUUCUUUACUGCCAUUGAUCAAAGAGAUGGAAGACCAGAAUAAGGCGUUGGUUAUCGGAGAUGACGAAAUAGAAGAUCUCAAGCAAAAACUGACAGAGGGUGAAGAUCUCGUUGAGGAGUUAAAGAAGGUCAGUUCUUGGAGCUUGAUGACGCCUCUUCACACGAACCGGCUUGCUGAACUGGACAAGUCUAUUAAAAGACUGUUAGAGAUACCGAAGGUGCAGGGAAUAAGGGAUGUCAAGGGGAUUUCCCUGUUGGCAAAGGAUCACACCAAACAACUUAAGGCCUGCAAAACAGAUGUGGAGGGAACCUUGGUUUUGGCGAAGGAUCACGCUGAACAACUUAAGGCCUGCAAAAGGGAUGUCGAGGAGACUUUGGUUUUGGCAAGGGAUCACUCUGAUCAACUUACCGACUGCAAAAGCCAUGUCGAGGAUACUUUGGGUUUGGCAAGGAAGAUAGACGCCAAGCUCGACAAAUUUGAACGGAUUGGUCUGGUACAAGGUGACAAAG
rnacentral:lncRNA from 1 species